CGCGGGAUUCGUCAUGCCAUCUCGAUGUGUAGCGAUAUGAAUUACUCACAGGAAGACUCGAGACUCUAGGAGUGGUCCAAAAAAAAACUUCUCCUGCAAAGCCACGACAGCUUUGAAAACCUACAACAAUGCAACCUUGGUUUUCCAAAGACGAAGCCAAACAUAAAAAAUUAAGCGGCGG